GAUCCACCCGCCUCAGCCUCCCGAAGUGCUUAGAUUAGAGGCACGAGCCACUGUACCUGGCCAGGGCAGUCUUCCAGCUGAUAGAAUGCUCCCCUCAUCUGUCCUUGGGCAGCUGUCUGGAAGGGCGGGGAGUGGAGCAGUGGGUGGGAAGUAGGGGAUCACUGGACAGGACCCUUCAUUUCUGCAGGGAGCAACUGCGGUUUCCUGCACAUCACCCAGGGUUUCUUGUCCUCAUCAGCAGCCGUGAGGAAGCAGGAGAAAUUCAGAGUUGGACUCCCUGCCCCCGACUUCACUUCACUCUGGCCAGACUCCUAGGGCUGGAGUCCUUAUAAAGAAAGGAGACGAGGAUGCAGAUGGGCGAAGUAAAGACCCAGUGAGGGCCCAGGAAGAAGACGCUGUCCGCCAGCCCAGGAGAGACGCCCCAGGAGAGGCCAGCCCUGCCCACUCCUGGAUCUUGGCCUUCCAGCCCCCAGGACCAUGCGAAGUCAAUCUCUGCUGUUUAAGCUGU